GCAUGUACAGGUUCAUUCACUUCCGGAUGUAUGGUGGAUUCCAGAUUCGGUGGCAAUGCAUGCUACUGUCCUCAGAAAAGGAGAAAACAUAAAAAUAGAGCAAUGCAUCUCAUACUGUGAUAAAUAUCACUGCCCAUUUUGUGAAACCUGGGUCUACAAACCAGUGGACUUUUACAGUGUCAAGAAACAUGUGGAGGAUCAUCUGAAAACAGCUGUUCAUGAAGAAGACGCCACUGGAGAUCCUCGGGCAGAUCCUGUUGAGAGUGGUCUCAGACGACGGAGACAUGGCCUUUAUGAGACUUUCUCUCACGUGCAAGCUCUUUAGGGACAUUGUCAGUGAGACAAAAUUCAAAGAAGAGGCUCACUUCAUGC